rnacentral:misc_RNA from 1 species
AAGGAUCAUUACUGGAACAUUCAAGGUUUUGAAGCUGGCCUUUAGGGGCAUGUGCUCGCCUUGUUUCAAUCCACUUACACCUGUGCACACUUUGUAGUUCUCGGAUGGGUUUCUAACCUUGAUCAGAUCUACGUCCUUUACACACACACUUUGUAUGUUAAGAAUGUACUAUAUGCGUAAUAACGCAACAAUAACAACUUUCAACAACGGAUCUCUUGGCUCUC